rnacentral:lncRNA from 1 species
AAAUUGACAAAUACAACUUAUCCUAGAACAAAGACAAUAACAGUAACAGUAGUUGACAAAUCAGUCUUGAAAUUAGAACAUUAAGUUAAGUAUAAAUGGAACUGUGAUAAUAAUAUGAAGAUACUGGAAUGAGUAAAGGUAGUCAAUAAACAAUACUCAUAAUAUAACGGGUUCUCAAAAUCAUUGUAUUAUAAAAAUAUGGGCAUACAUACACUAUUUAUUUUUAAAAAGAUCAAAUAAUGUAAAUCACACCAUUGGGCCCUCUUGGGCCAAAUUAAUGGUGUAAUAAUGUAAACAAAAUCUUGUGAUAAUGGACUAGCCUAGGAAGUCUAGUGUCUAAAGGACUUACAAGUGAAUCCUGCCCGGAUGUACCAUCAUAACCAUAAAUUAAUAAAACCUUCCUUUUCAUUUCGUGGUAAUAUCGGUACCUCGGAGAGAUACAAUACAAUGCCCAUUUUCGUAACAUAAACUUUUUUCAACAGAAAGUGUUGUUAUUUAAGUUAUUUAUUCAAGUUAUUAAGUUAUUUAAGUUAUUUUAUUUCAAGUUAUUUAUUGGGAUAUGGACAUUGUUUCUAUUGUCAUUUAAAUCAUGCAUUUGUUAUAAUUGUUUAUUAUAUAGUGUGUAAA